GAUGAACGCUGGCGGCGUGCCUAAUACAUGCAAGUCGAGCGAACAGACGAGGAGCUUGCUCCUUUGACGUUAGCGGCGGACGGGUGAGUAACACGUGGAUAACCUACCUAUAAGACUGGGAUAACUUCGGGAAACCGGAGCUAAUACCGGAUAACAUGUUGAACCGCAUGGUUCAACAGUGAAAGAAGGUCUUGCUGUCACUUAUAGAUGGAUCCGCGCCGCAUUAGCUAGUUGGUAAGGUAACGGCUUACCAAGGCAACGAUGCGUAGCCGACCUGAGAGGGUGAUCGGCCACACUGGAACUGAGACACGGUCCAGACUCCUACGGGAGGCAGCAGUAGGGAAUCUUCCGCAAUGGGCGAAAGCCUGACGGAGCAACGCCGCGUGAGUGAAGAAGGUCUUCGGAUCGUAAAACUCUGUUAUUAGGGAAGAACAAAUGUGUAAGUAACUAUGCACGUCUUGACGGUACCUAAUCAGAAAGCCACGGCUAACUACGUG
rnacentral:rRNA from 1 species